rnacentral:snoRNA from 1 species
UUUAAUUCAUAAACAAGAUGAUUGGGUGUUCACACUGUUGUGUGAGAUCUGCCUCCCUCUAAACCUUGUUAUGAUGUUGGCAAAGUACCUAUCUGAU